rnacentral:tRNA from 1 species
GCGAGAGUGGCGGAAUGGCAGACGCGCUAGACUUAGGAUCUAGUGGGCAACCGUAGGGGUUCAAGUCCCCUCUCUCGCACCA